rnacentral:rRNA from 1 species
GGCGAGAGACCGAUAGCGAACAAGUACCGUGAGGGAAAGAUGAAAAGAACUUUGAAAAGAGAGUAAAAUAGUACGUGAAAUUGUUGAAAGGGAAACGAUUGAAGUCAGUCGUACUGAUGAGAAUUCAACUCCUCGAGUGCUAACUUGUGGACGUGCGUGAGCCUUAAAACCUCGCUGUUUGCAAUGUUUGUGCUUUUUGGGUGUAAUUUUUCGUAUGGUAGGCCAACGUCAGUUUCGUUUACCAUAAAA